rnacentral:piRNA from 1 species
UGCAAGCAAGCUCUCAUCGUGAGGUUUGA